rnacentral:rRNA from 1 species
CAGUAGCCGCGGUAAUACGUAGGGCGCGAGCGUUAAUCGGAAUUACUGGGCGUAAAGCGUGCGCAGGCGGUUUUGUAAGACAGGCGUGAAAUCCCCGGGCUCAACCUGGGAAUGGCGCUUGUGACUGCAAAGCUAGAGUGCGGCAGAGGGGGAUGGAAUUCCGCGUGUAGCAGUGAAAUGCGUAGAUAUGCGGAGGAACACCGAUGGCGAAGGCAAUCCCCUGGGCCUUCACUGACGCUCAUGCACGAAAGCGUGGGGAGCAAACAGGAUUAGAGACCCCCGUAGUCCCUGUCUCUUAUAA